rnacentral:rRNA from 1 species
AGAGUUUGAUCCUGGCUCAGGAUGAACGCUGGCGGCGUGCUUAACACAUGCAAGUCGAGCGAGGGAGCACCUUCGGGUGUGAACUAGCGGCGGACGGGUGAGUAACACGUGGGCAACCUGCCUUACAGAGGGGGAUAGCCUUCCGAAAGGAAGAUUAAUACCGCAUAUUAUGAUUUUUCUGCAUGGGAAAGUCAUGAAAGGAGCAAUCCGCUGUAAGAUGGGCCCGCGGCGCAUUAGCUAGUUGGUGAGGUAAGGGCUCACCAAGGCGACGAUGCGUAGCCGACCUGAGAGGGUGAUCGGCCACAUUGGGACUGAGACACGGCCCAGACUCCUACGGGAGGCAGCAGUGGGGAAUCUUCCGCAAUGGACGAAAGUCUGACGGAGCAACGCCGCGUGAGUGAUGACGGCCUUCGGGUUGUAAAGCUCUGUUAAUCGGGACGAAAGGCCUUCUUGCGAAUAGUGAGAAGGAUUGACGGUACCGGAAUAGAAAGCCACGGCUAACUACGUGCCAGCAGCCGCGGUAAUACGUAGGUGGCAAGCGUUGUCCGGAAUUAUUGGGCGUAAAGCGCGCGCAGGCGGAUUGGUCAGUCUGUCUUAAAAGUUCGGGGCUUAACCCCGUGAUGGGAUGGAAACUGCCAAUCUAGAGUAUCGGAGAGGAAAGUGGAAUUCCUAGUGUAGCGGUGAAAUGCGUAGAUAUUAGGAAGAACACCAGUGGCGAAGGCGACUUUCUGGACGAAAACUGACGCUGAGGCGCGAAAGCCAGGGGAGCGAACGGGAUUAGAUACCCCGGUAGUCCUGGCCGUAAACGAUGGGUACUAGGUGUAGGAGGUAUCGACCCCUUCUGUGCCGGAGUUAACGCAAUAAGUACCCCGCCUGGGGAGUACGACCGCAAGGUUGAAACUCAAAGGAAUUGACGGGGGCCCG